CUAUCUCUACAAUACCAUUCUUUUAGAUAAGUAACUUUUUCUUUUAGCAUCGUGUGAACGUAGAUUACGAGCGUCGGACAUCUUUCUGCAUUACCAUAUAUGACUAAAUGUUUGACUAAUGAUGAGAUCGUGCCAGUAUCGGUACUAUCAGUACUAUGCGCGUCAUGUUAGUCUGGCCGUUUAAGCUUAUUUCGCGGGCAAACGUAGGGGACGUACCGAAAUAAAGUCUUCCCACGCACGAAUUCGAUGCUAAAAGAGAUCCGACGUCCAUUUCUAAAGUUAUCCCUUGCUCUCGGCACGUGCCACACGAUACGGAGGUCUGUCUGACUGCCUGUUUCUUCCACUCUGUGGAAAUUUGUGAAAUACGACCAUGACAUGACACCCGGAUAGAUUCUGGCGAAGGCAAAAGAAUAGAAGAAGGCAAAAGAAUGAAGAAAGGAAAAAGGGAGGGAGAAAAAGAGGAAAGAGGAAUGGAAAGAAAAAGAGAAAGGAAGGGAGAUAGCGAUACUGAUGGGCGGCAUGCACAGAGUAAAAGUUCGAAGUUAUCUUGCGAUGAAUGUAAAGAAUCGUGACAAAACAAGCAGGUUCACGACUAUAAACAAGAAAUUGCAAGAUCGCUAAAAUUAGUCGAGUAAAACGUAAUUCGAUAUUUGAAGAUAAAACAGAUACUUUGCCAGACCACGUAUACAAUUCCUAUGUAUUUGUUUAAACUUAGUUAUUUAUUAAAAUAAAUAAUCUUAAUUAUUUAUGAUUAAUAACGA